GUGCUUGCUUCAGAAGCACAUACGCUAAAAUUGGAACAAUACAGAGAUUAACUUGGCCCCUGUUCAAGGAUGACACACAAAUUCAUUCCAUAUUUUU
rnacentral:snRNA from 1 species